CGGAUAUCUCAAGGAUGACGUACAGUUUAUAUUCGAAGGAUGAAAUCGGAACCGGUCACAAUUUGGAUCCUGUGUUUUUUGGGAGAUCAUAUUCUGCUGCUUGGAUCCUCAAUCAUUCCUCUCUGCAAGUUCUCUUCCUCUAUGAGGUAUCCUUCCACUCACCCUGUGAAGCCAGUCGACUGAGGACUCUCUUAGGAUCCAGGAAACAAAGACGUUGAAGGAUUCUCUUUACGUUUUCAGAAACGUUACCACGAUAGCACUUCCCAAAUCUUCUCUUUUACAUAUUUUCUGUGAAGUUAUGGAACAUAGGGUUCUAAAGGGUUAGAAAGCAAUCUUUCACAUUUCCCGGAAAAUAAAUACAACUGAUUUGGAAACUCUUA